rnacentral:rRNA from 1 species
CCUACGGGUGGCAGCAGUGGGGAAUAUUGCACAAUGGGCGCAAGCCUGAUGCAGCAACGCCGCGUGAGGGAUGACGGCCUUCGGGUUGAAACCUCUUUUAGUAGGGAAGCGGUACCUGCAGAAAAAGCACCGGCUAACUACGUGCCAGCAGCCGCGGUAAUACGUAGGGUGCAAGCGUUGUCCGGAAUUAUUGGGCGUAAAGAGCUCGUAGGCGGUUUGUCGCGUCUGCUGUGAAAACUGGAGGCUCAACCUCCAGCCUGCAGUGGGUACGGGCAGACUAGAGUGCGGUAGGGGAGAUUGGAAUUCCUGGUGUAGCGGUGGAAUGCGCAGAUAUCAGGAGGAACACCGAUGGCGAAGGCAGAUCUCUGGGCCGUACUGACGCUGAGGAGCGAAAGCGUGGGGAGCGAACAGGAUUAGAUACCCUUGUAGUC